AUACGUAGGUGACAAGCGUUAUCCGGAUUUACUGGGCGUAAAGGGCGUGUAGGCGGUCUUGCAAGUCAGAAGUGAAAUUCCUGAGCUCAACUCGGGCGCUGCUUCUGAAACUGCAGGACUUGAGUGCUGGAGGGGAUAGCGGAAUUCCUAGUGGAGCGGUAAAAUGCGCAGAUAUUAGGAAGGACACCGGUGGCGAAGGCGGACAUCUGGACAGUAACUGACGAUGAGGCGCGAAAGCGUGGGGAGCAAACAGGAUUAGAUGCCCGGGUAGUCCACGCCGUAAACGAUGAAUACUAGGUGUAGGGGGUAUCGACUCCCUCUGUGCCGCAGUUAACACAAUAAGUAUUCCGCCUGGGGAGUACGGCCGGGAGGUUGAAACUCAAAG
rnacentral:rRNA from 1 species